rnacentral:rRNA from 1 species
UGGGGAAUCUUGCGCAAUGGGCGAAAGCCUGACGCAGCCAUGCCGCGUGUAUGAUGAAGGUCUUAGGAUUGUAAAAUACUUUCACCGGGGAAGAUAAUGACGGUACCCGGAGAAGAAGCCCCGGCUAACUUCGUGCCAGCAGCCGCGGUAAUACGAAGGGGGCUAGCGUUGCUCGGAAUUACUGGGCGUAAAGGGCGCGUAGGCGGAUAUUUAAGUCGGGGGUGAAAGCCCAGGGCUCAACCCUGGAAUUGCCUUCGAUACUGGAUAUCUUGAGUUCGGGAGAGGUGAGUGGAAUGCCGAGUGUAGAGGUGAAAUUCGUAGAUAUUCGGCGGAACACCAGUGGCGAAGGCGACUCACUGGCCCGAUACUGACGCUGAGGCGCGAAAGCGUGGGGAGCAAACA